CUGAGAUGUUCUAAGAGGUGUUCAUUGUGAGACUAUGCCAUUAUCUUUGAAAUAGUUUUAGAAUUUUUCACUAAGGUAUUCAUCUCCUCAAUUUGAUCGAAGAACCGUUAUAGAUUUUCAUGUUUGCUUCUCCACUUUACAUUUGAACUCCUUAAACUUUUCAAAGGCCUUAGAUUUAUAUCACACUAAGUACACAUACAUAU
rnacentral:lncRNA from 1 species